UUUGUGGAGGGUUCGAUUCUGGCUCAGGAUGAACGCUGGCGGCGUGCUUAACACAUGCAAGUCGAACGGGAUCCAUCGGGCUUUGCUUGGUGGUGAGAG
rnacentral:rRNA from 1 species